rnacentral:rRNA from 1 species
GCCUACGGGACGCAGCAGUGGGGGAUAUUGCACAAUGGGGGAAACCCUGAUGCAGCGACGCCGCGUGAGCGAUGAAGUAUUUCGGUAUGUAAAGCUCUAUCGGCAGGGAAGAAAAUGACGGUACCUGACUAAGAAGCCCCGGCUAACUACGUGCCAGCAGCCGCGGUAAUACGUAGGGGGCAAGCGUUAUCCGGAUUUACUGGGUGUAAAGGGAGCGUAGACGGCAGUGCAAGUCUGAAGGGAAAGGCAAGGGGUCAACCCUCAGCCUGCCCCUGAUACUGUUAGACUUGAGGAUGGAAGAGGAG